GAGUUGAGUGGCGAACUGGUGAGUAACACGUGGGAAACCUGCCCAGAAGCGGGGGAUAACACCUGGAAACAGAUGCUAAUACCGCAUAACAACUUGGACCGCAUGGUCCGAGUUUGAAAGAUGGCUUCGGCUAUCACUUUUGGAUGGUCCCGCGGCGUAUUAGCUAGAUGGUGGGGUAACGGCUCACCAUGGCAAUGAUACGUAGCCGACCUGAGAGGGUAAUCGGCCACAUUGGGACUGAGACACGGCCCAAACUCCUACGGGAGGCAGCAGUAGGGAAUCUUCCACAAUGGACGAAAGUCUGAUGGAGCAACGCCGCGUGAGUGAAGAAGGGUUUCGGCUCGUAAAACUCUGUUGUUAAAGAAGAACAUAUCUGAGAGUAACUGUUCAGGUAUUGACGGUAUUUAACCAGAAAGCCACGGCUAACUACGUGCCAGCAGCCGCGGUAAUACGUAGGUGGCAAGCGUUGUCCGGAUUUAUUGGGCGUAAAGCGAGCGCAGGCGGUUUUUUAAGUCUGAUGUGAAAGCCUUCGGCUCAACCGAAGAAGUGCAUCGGAAACUGGGAAACUUGAGUGCAGAAGAGGACAGUGGAACUCCAUGUGUAGCGGUGAAAUGCGUAGAUAUAUGGAAGAACACCAGUGGCGAAAGCGGCUGUCUGGUCUGUAACUGACGCUGAGGCUCGAAAGUAUGGGUAGCAACAGGAUUAGAUACCCUGGUAGUCCAUACCGUAACGAUGAAUGCUAAGUGUUGGAGGGUUUCCGCCCUUCAGUGCUGCAGCUAACGCAUAAGCAUCCGCCUGGGAGUACAGCGCAAGCUGAACUCAAAGGA
rnacentral:rRNA from 2 species